UGGGGUUGUGGCUCAGUGGUAGAGCACUUGCCUAGCACGUGUGAGGCACUGGGUUUGAUUCUCAGCACCACAA
rnacentral:tRNA from 1 species